UACGUAGGGUGCGAGCGUUGUCCGGAAUUAUUGGGCGUAAAGGGCUCGUAGGCGGUUUGUCGCGUCGGGAGUGAAAACUCAGGGCUUAACCCUGAGCCUGCUUCCGAUACGGGCAGACUAGAGGUAUGCAGGGGAGAACGGAAUUCCUGGUGUAGCGGUGGAAUGCGCAGAUAUCAGGAGGAACACCGAUGGCGAAGGCAGAUCUCUGGGCCGUAACUGACGCUGAGGAGCGAAAGCAUGGGGAGCGAACAGG
rnacentral:rRNA from 1 species